AAGUCGUAACAAGGUAACCGUAGGUGAACCUGCGGUUGGAUCAUUAAAAAAUUUAAACAAAGAGUUUUUUUUCUUUUUUUUUUAAUUAAGAAAAAAACUUCUUUAACAUUUUUGUGCACUGUAAUUUUUAUUAUCUAGUGGGGCAGUAUAUUUAUUAUUUAUAGGCUUUUUAUUAGCUAAAAAGGAUUUAAAAACCCUUUUGGUUAGUUUUUAGCUGGAGGGUAAUUCUUAUGAUUAACCCUUUACCCACUAGAAAAUUAUUUUAACUUUAAUUAUUUUUAUUAUUUGCCUUUAGAUUAAUUUAAAAAAAAAGUAUUUAACUUAAAAAAAAUAACUUUUGACAACGGAUCUCUAGGCUCUC
rnacentral:misc_RNA from 1 species